CCCCCCCCCAACCCCUCCGGGGCGACCCCGCCGCCUUCCCGGCAGCCCCCGCGCGGGGGCGCGCGAGGCGCGCGGUGCCCUGAGGGGACCCUGAGGGGACCCUGAGGGGGCGCAGGGUGGGCAGAGCCGUGCAGCCUGCUGAGGGCUAAUUAAUUAAUUAACUAAUUAAUUUUUAUAAAGCAGGCUCAGCUCCCGGGGCUGUGUCCCUUCAGUCUCCCUGGUCUGGUGCUUUUGUGCCUCAUUACCGUCAGCCCAGCCGUCCCAGGAGGGCUCCUGCCCCUCGGUGCCUCACGGAAUCGGCUCCAGCGCCAGCACAAGCUCCGGCCUUAAUUUACUUUAAUUUAAUUUAAUUUACUGGGCUGCAGUGUGAGCGCCUCACGGCUCUGAGCCCCUCGGGCUCCGCGUGUGGAGACCCGUGAGGCUGGGGUGCGCCCCGUGUCUGCUGCCUGCACCCACCGUGAGCCGGGGCAGGGCUGCGAGCGCGGCCUCAUUGCUAAUUCAGAGUGGAAACAGCUCCUCUGGGGGCCUUAAUUCCAGACAAGGAGCACGGCGAUAAAGCUGGUGGAAAUCCUGUCCCGAGUGAUAAACUUCUGCCCUCUGAAACGGAUGCCCGCUGCGCCGCGUCUCCGCCUGUGCUCGCCCUUCCUGCCAGGCUUCUCUGAGAGCUGCGGAACAAGAGUUGCCUCAAGAGAGAGGAGCACCAAGUCCAGUAAAAAGAGACCUUUCUGGUGGGACCGUGAAGAAAGGGACUGGGAAAUCUGCUGGCUUCUGGUGCUGAUGUGGGUAGAAGCAUUUCCUUGAGGAGAGACCCCACAGGAUGGAUUUUUGCCGUGUUGCUUUGUGCUUUAAUACCCGUGACUGGAUCAAACCAUCAGUUCCACUCAUCAGUGCGGCGAGCUCCUUGGUGAUAAGCUAUUCCCACACUUCUGAGUGAUACCAAAACCAUGAGUUUGUGAACGAGGAGCAAGGCCCUGGGUGAGCCUCCCAGCGCGGCUGCAACCUCGGUGUCUAGUGGCAUUCCCGUCCCUGCCCUCUGACAGGCUUUGUUCGUGCCCUCCCUCGUUCCCCUCCUUUUGCAGAGGCGCAGCUGGGUCCCUGACAGGCAGCCCACGUGAGUGCACUCUGCCCUGUGAUCCAAUAGGACAUGUGCAUUCUGUGUGCUCCUGCUCAGCGCUACGGACGGCGAAAGCCUCAGUUUUCGGUCCAGAAAGCUGAUUAGGAGAGACACAGCGCAAAGAGAGAGCAGUGUUGUGAGAGAGCCCUGCCCUGCCUCGUUUCAUGUAGCACGUUGCCUUUAGUUCCCUGUUGUUGGUUUGGAAGAUGCACAGAGCAGCCCUGAGCCUCCACAGCUCCCUGUGGAGCGCUCGUGUUAGCACUGGCUGUAUGACUCCAGUCAGGCCUCGUGGUGUGCUGAGCUGAAAGCGCAGGACUUAAAAGGUUGCAACACCUUCGCAUUUGUUUUCUUACCUCCUCGCCCCAUCCUCUGCAAGAUUCGCUGUAUUGAUUCGUGUCAGUGAUUCAAGAGACUGUCACAAGUGAUGGUGAGUUGUACAGUCAAGGUGGAAAAAAACUGUCUCCUAAGAAAAGAUCUGACAGAGAAAAAUGCAGAAAAUGCAAUUUGAAUUGAAGAGUGGGUCAAGACACCUGCCAAGGGAGAGGAUGGAUGUCUCUCCUGCAGACCUGGAGAGGCAAUGUGGCCUUGGAACAGCUUGUGAAACAGGAACUCUGAAGGACAGAGCAUACCAGGACAGGGGGAAAUAACGUCGCACUCCCUGUAUGCAUUAGAGACAAUUUGUAAAGCAAUUUGAGAGCUUUGUAUGGAAGAUUCUUCAUCAGUGCAUAAAGAAUAAUCGUUUCAUCAAUGAUUGUCCAACAACGUGGGGAAUUUGAUAAACUCCCAGGCUGAAUUUCUCUGGCCUUGGUCUGCAUAUUGAUUUUAUUUCAAGAAUAAUAGAGUAAAUGCUGUAAAUGGCUGGUAUUGAUGUGUUGUGACAAGCAGGACAAAGUGUGUUUUGGAGCUGUGUGGUCCUGCGUUGCUGUCACUGUUCAGCUACUUCAGAGGCCUCAAAGAUUCACCAGUGAGACUUUCUUCCCUCCAUGUCCAUGUAGCUGUUCUAAGACUGCCUGUCUUCAAUCUGGCCCUGGGCAGAGAUGAACAGAUGAGCAAGAGACUCUGGACUGACUUUGUGUUCCUGUCCACACAGCGCUACACUAAUGGAACAGUUACAGCACUAGGUCAAGCAAGAGCAGGUGUGAGCCCGCUGGUUGGGGUGUUCUGUAUCCAGCUGCCCCUCCAGUGAAUGUUGCUUUAGAUAAGUGACCACCCAGCGGGGCUGAGGCUGAACCCCCAGUACCCAGAUCGCAGCAGUUGCGUGGGCUGUUGCAGAGCUGGGCUCAGGCAGCGGAUGCGUGUUGGGAAGGCAGCACACUCCUCGUCUGCAGCAGGUUGCUGCAAGAAGCAAACGGCUGCUUCCCAACUCAAAGGCAGAACCCAGAAUAUUUGUUCUGAUAGUUUGGGAUUUGCUUCUCCCUUCCCUUUCUGCAUCUGGGAGCACUGAGUGAGCCACGUAAGUUGCUGUGUGGAAAAAAACCCAACCCAUCCUUAAUGCCUCCUUCACGGGGAUGUUCAGAUGGAUUAAUUAUUCUUUGUUCUGGUCUCUGAAGAUAAAGGGUAAUUGCUCUUAAUUAGGAGUAAUUGAAAAAUUGCUCCUUCGCAGAGAGCCCAAUAGCAUUAGUGGGAUUUGAGCUUCUUGCCACCUAUAGGGAGGAGACUGCCAGCCCUGAAGUUACAGCAAAGGCUGCUCUAAACCCAAGGAUGGCCUCAGAGGGUUUCCUCCGUUCCCAGCCUGCGCUUCAGAGCAAUGUUUUCAGAUAUCCCAGGUCCUGGAGCAUGCAAGCGAGGCUGGGCUCUUUGUUUUGUUCUGCUGAGUGGUGCUUCAGCAGAGGAUGCGAUCCGCGAGGCCGGCUGUCAGCCUUGGUGCCGCGAGGCUUUUCGUCAGGAAGCUUCCAGGAACAAACACCCCUUGGCUUACCUGUCCGCCAAGGAAGCUUGAGGAAAAAAGCAAACAAAAGCCUCCACCUCUUUAGGAAGCAGCACUUCAUCAGGGGGUCAGCAAGAAGGCAGAGGCGCCUGCCAAAAGUGGAGAAUGUUGAGAUAUUUGGAUUAAGGUGAAAAGCAGAAUUAGGAUUUUUCCGAGGGCAGAACAGAUCCGUGCGCCCUGCUUUUUCUUGCCCCUCAAUUCCUCUGCAGGUGAAGCCGUGGCCCUGUUUUGCAGUGAGAUGCAUCUGCUGCUGUUGCCGUGUGCUGAACAACCCUUCUCUCUGCGUGGCUUUAUGUUCAGCUCCAGCAGCCUCGAGCAGCACAGGAGCAGGGCUGCCUGCCGCAGAGCACUCAGCUCUGUAAUGAGGGAGACGAAGGCAAACACUUCCCUGCACACCCCUCGCUCAGCAGCAGCGGAGCUGAGCGCAAGGACAGGCCUCCAGGAGCAGCCCUGCACAACCCGUGGCUGCUUCGUGGCUCCAGCAGGGCAGCAGCAGCGUGUGACAGAGGAGAGGAGCUGCGGGGAGCUGCUCAGAGCGGUAGGGCUGGGGAGUUUCAGGGUCUCGGCAUGUCCUGGUGUCAGCUCGGAGCAAGGAGCGUGCCAGUCACUGCCUGCUUGGGGCACAAGGAUCUCAGCUCUUUGCCUGACCCAGCCUGACAGCGCCCUCCCCACCCGCCUGUUCUGGCCUCCAGCCACCUUCAGCUGCAGCCCCCCCCCUGCCCGGCACAGCAAGUCAAAGCCCCUCGGAAGCAGAGCGAGGCGCAGCUUUGGGUGGGGGAGAAUCAGCAGCGACUCUUUUUAUUUCUGCUGUGCUGGUCAGGGCUGCUCACAGAGACCAGUGAGCGCGGGCAGAUCUCUGGGGGCUACGGCUGCUGUAGACUGCAGAAGACAAAAAGCACCAGAAGCAUCUGACCUAUUUUGGGAAGCUUGCUGGGGCUUUCUGGUUUGUUUUUAUUUUAUUUUUGAAUUUGCACCUGAGUUAGAGGCUGUAAAUAUUUGUCGCUUUCCCUAACUAUGCACACUGUGGAGACAGAAACAAACUAAAAAAAUACCUUGCUGCAUUUGCUGGGCUGACUCCACCAGCUGCCCUGAGGGCACGGGAGUUUGAGCUGGCUCUCGAGAUGACUUCUGCCUGCUGCUGGUUGCUCCCAGGCUCCUGGUGGUGCACGCAGCAGCCUUCGUGGAGUGCCUGAUGCACUGAGAUGAGCUGGGGACGGCUGACCGAGGGCACGUCCCUCAGGCCACCUCAGUAAAAUUCCAUCGUGCACGUGCUGCAACCCAAGCAGUUGUUGCUACGUGACCUCCUCUGUCCCUGUUUCAUACCUGUGGUGCUUCGAAGCUCAUGUUCAUCCUGCUGUAACAGUAGUGACUUAAUUAGGGCUGAAUUUGCUCUGAACAUGAGCAGCUUCCAUCAAGUCAUCUAAAGGAUCAGAUCUCGUUUCUCCUUUCUCUCCGUAUUGGUGGCAUCUGGUUUCAUUUUCCAUCUUUCCGAGGGGAGCUCACUUUUCCCCCCAUUUCAGCGUGUGCCUGCUGCGUGGCAGCACCCAGGGCUGCCGCUGCCUCCGAGCCGAGCCAAGCGGCGCUCUGCCAGCCAGCAAAGCUCAGGAUUGUGGGGGGCAGAACGUGAGAGGCUUCAAGGAGCGGUGUUGUGGACUGUGUAGCUUAACCCCCGUACGUGCUUAUAGGUCACGAAACUAAGCCACAGGCAGUUAAAUGUGUGUGUGUCCCCACGCAGGGUGUGCAGAGGCAGCAGUUUGCAUCCUGCAGUGCCACAGGAGGCAGUGGCUUUGCCCCGCCUGGCUCCUCUUCCCUGGUACCCCAAGGGGCACCCGGGGCCUUCCCAGGGUAGGUGACAGGGUGGGCACUGCUGGUGGGACAGCAGGGCUGGCACAGGACGUGGGAUGCCCAGCAAAACUUCUACACGUCCACCACUCUCUGUGUGGCCUCACUAUUUAUUGCUAAAUACACCCGUGUGAGAAACUCUGUGCAUCUUGUGAAGGGUCUUCAGGAUUCAAUUCCUUUAACUCGUCCCUUCUCUGCCCCUGUCCCCACCCUAACUCCAUGGCCAGACUAAAAC